UGAACGGUGAACAGGAAGGAUGAACUUAUUUCUUAUCUCCAGAGAAAGCUCCGGCUUCGUGAAUAAGCACAAUAUGCCUGGGGCAGGAAGAGGGCAAGCAGCUCGGGGAAUUAGGACUGAGCGGUGAGGACAGAUGGCAGCUGUCUUGGGAGUGAUGCUGGAGUUUGGAUCAUAUUCCAUGCGCCCGUGGCUCCAAAUGCCCAUCAUUCCUCAGUACUGGGCAAAGGUUGUUCAGCCUCAGGUGAAGUGAGACAAAGAAGGACGUCAAGAGGUUUUGCUGGGUUUGAUGGGUUUCAUCUGGGACGGGUUACAAUGCAUUUUGUGUAAUCAUCUCUUUUCAUUAAGUGGCAGGCAUUGUAGAUACAGUUCAGUCAUUCUUUUUUAUGGCAUGUUUAGUUGGCAAAAUAAAAUGUUAGUAAAAGUUGGUGACUCUUUUUUUUGUCCUUUACAUUAAAAAACAAACAAGCAAACAAACCAAAAAAAAAAAAAAAAAGCUAUCCUUAAGUCCAGACUAUUAAAUUUGCAGCAGAGAGGAGGAAUUGGUCCAAGGCAGGAGAUAAGGAAGACAUUGAGGAUUCUGCAAAAAGAGUGUAGGC
rnacentral:lncRNA from 1 species